CUGUGUGUUUACCUGUGUGUUUACCUGUGUGUUUACCUGUGUGUACCGAGACGUCCUGUUAUCGCCGAGAGGAUAUCCUGUUCCACGGUCAACACGCAGGCUCGCUUCUCCACACACAAAGAGACGCUCACCAUGGCGCAGAUCGGUGUGAUUGUCGCUGCCUUGCUCGCUCUGGGUACUGGGGGGGCCCUCAACCCCGCUGCGACCCAAAGCUGUGGCGGCCCUGAUCAAGUAGUGAGGUACUCGGAGGACAAAGUGAUGUUUUCCAGUGCAGAAGGAUACAAUCUGUCCACCGCGGGGUACGUUCAACCGGGAAGUGAUUUUAAAGGCAUCAGCGUUAAAGUACCUCAAAGGAAAGCUCAACACGUAGCUUGGUUCCCUGCUGACCCUUGCUUACCUGGCACAGGAGCGAAGUGGGCGUACGUGAGAGUGACGGUUACGCGCCUGCAAUAUAAGGUUUCAAAAAUCUGCUUCGUUCGCUUCCACCUGGUCACGGACUAUUGCCAAAGGAUAUGUGAUCGUUAUAAUAAAGUCUCAUGUGGGAGGUCCCUCGGAGGUCUGAGUGUUGUGGCGCGUGGGCCCUCGAACUGGAAAAGCGACAAUCCAGGAAGAAUGUGUCUUGUACGAGUGGGGUGGAAGCCGCCGCUCCCUCCUGUGGAUAUCUGCGAGAGCCCUCCAUUCAGGCCACCUUCAGGCACUCCCCCAUCUACAACCACCACCCCAACCACUAUGAAAUCGACAUCAACAUCCACAGAUCCCUUCCCGUCCUCUGCGUCAUCUGCGUCUGGGUCUGCGUCUUCGUUGCUGCUGAUAGUGGUGGUGGUGGUUGCGGUGGUGUUAUUAUAGUGGUGGUGGUGGUGUUAUUAUGGUGGUGGUGGUGGUGGUGGUGGUCUGCGGCAUACGACGACGAAGACGCAGAUCAUCGGCAUCGCGCACGGGGGUCCAGUAUCAUCACCAACUUGAAACACCCACACCUACACAAGACCAUGUCAACGAGAACAACCUGUAUGACCCUCUCCCUGGACCUGUAAACCCCACCAGACCCAGGGAUGACCAGCAACAAGUAUACGGCGUGGAGGACAACUUGUAUGAACCUCUCCCUGUACCUGUAAACCCCACCAGACCCAGGGAUGACCAGCGACAAGUAUACGGCGUGGAGAGCAACCUGUAUGAAGCUCUCCCUGGACCUGUCAACCCUGGUGCUACAAGGGAACGGGAAGGGACGGUUGUAGUGGAGAGCGAUCUAUAUGGACCACUCAGUGUCCCUCUUACCAGCACCACCAGAGGGUAUAACUAUAGAUGAAGAAAUUGAUUUGUAUAAUAAAGAUUCCUAUAACAUAACACCAAGGGACGGCAGGCGUGGAAAACGGUCUCUAUGAAUCACUCACUGUCUCUAUGAAGGUGUUAGUACAUAAAGAAGGGUGAGUGAACAUGCUCUUCAGAUACUUAUUUAUAAACAACACUUUGGUUGGUACAUGUAUCUAAACUGUUCUACAUAUGACUAUAGAUAUAAGCUUAGGACUUUGUGUGACUAGACAUGUUGUGGGCGUGAAUACCAUAGCUACAUGCAAGAAGAGGUUAGAUAAAGUCAUGGAUAGUGAGGUAAGGCGGGGUUAGGAUUACAGGAGCUGCCUUGUAUAACCCAACCGGUCUCUUGCACUCCUCAACUCCUUACGUUCUUAUGUCUGUGUGACUUGAUCAUUCCUCUGCUGAAGUACAGGAUGUGUUUCUGCUUUAUAAAAUUACAUACUGAUUCUGCACUGUGAUGAUCUCUUGUAUGAUAACCACUAUCUUGGUAAUAAAGCAGGAAGGAGAAAGA